CUUUCUUUGCUGGCGACCGGCGCACGGGUGAGUAACACGUAUCCAACCUGCCCUUUACUCGGGGAUAGCCUUUCGAAAGAAAGAUUAAUACCCGAUAGUAUAAUGAUUCCGCAUGGUUUCAUUAUUAAAGGAUUCCGGUAAAGGAUGGGGAUGCGUUCCAUUAGGUUGUUGGUGAGGUAACGGCUCACCAAGCCUUCGAUGGAUAGGGGUCCUGAGAGGAAGGUCCCCCACAUUGGAACUGAGACACGGUCCAA
rnacentral:rRNA from 1 species